rnacentral:rRNA from 1 species
AACAGGAUUAGAUACCCUGGUAGUCCACGCCGUAAACGAUGUCGACUUGGAGGUUGUUCCCUUGAGGAGUGGCUUCCGGAGCUAACGCGUUAAGUCGACCGCCUGGGGAGUACGGUCGCAAGACCGAAACUCAAAUGAAUUGACGGGGGCCCGCACAAGCGGUGGAGCAUGUGGUUUAAUUCGAUGCAACGCGAAGAACCUUACCUACUCUUGACAUCCACGGAAUUCGGCAGAGAUGCCUUAGUGCCUUCGGGAACCGUGAGACAGGUGCUGCAUGGCUGUCGUCAGCUCGUGUUGUGAAAUGUUGGGUUAAGUCCCGCAACGAGCGCAACCCUUAUCCUUUGUUGCCAGCGAUUCGGUCGGGAACUCAAAGGAGACUGCCGGUGAUAAACCGGAGGAAGGUGGGGAUGACGUCAAGUCAUCAUGGCCCUUACGAGUAGGGCUACACACGUGCUACAAUGGCGCAUACAAAGAGAAGCGACCUCGCGAGAGCAAGCGGACCUCAUAAAGUGCGUCGUAGUCCGGAUCGGAGUCUGCAACUCGACUCCGUGAAGUCGGAAUCGCUAGUAAUCGUGGAUCAGAAUGCCACGGUGAAUACGUUCCCGGGCCUUGUACACACCGCCCGUCACACCAUGGGAGUGGGUUGCAAAAGAAGUAGGUAGCUUAACCUUCGGGAGGGCGCUUACCACUUUGUGAUUCAUGACUGGGGUGAAGUCGUAACAAGGUAACC